UAAGAUAAUCGAUGAAAGACUGAACAAAGUUUAAACGGUAACCAUAAAAAAACAUGCACAUGGGAUGCAAUGCCACAAGAGAGAAAAAGGAGAAGAGGAAGACGAUGAUGUUAUCAGAAAUAAUAAUGCAAUGCCACAAGAGAGAAAAAGAAGAGGAGCCGCAAGAGAGAAAAAGGAGAGGAGGAAGACGCGAUGAUAUCAGAAACUGCAAUGCCGCGAAAGGUCUGCGGUUUAUUUAAAAUGAAAUGGGGCGUCAGUUCCCCCAAAACCUGACGUCUAUAGUCACCUAGUCGUCGGUUAUUUAACUAAUUUGACGUCCAAUAUAACAUUUAAAGUGACUUUUUGAAUGCCAUUAGACGUUGGUGUCCAAGGAGACCAACGUCUAGUGCGCUAAACCUUUCAUUUCCUGUCAGGGACGUAGACGAUGGUUGUGAAGGGGCGCCGACGUCUCUAAUGCUAUAGACGUCCGUGCUCUGCUACCGGACGUCGACGUGCCUCGGAUUUUGGUGAACAUAAUUAAUUACAGGCCUAUAGAAGUCGCGGUCCCCGAAAAGCGACAUCUAUUUUGCAGAAAUUUUCAUCU
rnacentral:lncRNA from 1 species